rnacentral:lncRNA from 1 species
AACUUGAAGGGAGCAACCAGUUCUUCUUAUUCUUCUUGUCUCUUGUUUUCUUUCUUUUUCCUUUUCCUUUCACCUAUCUUUUCUUGGACAUUUUGGGGAAGAUUAGAACAGGGAGAUGGUGCAUUAGGUUGGAGAAGAUGACCAAUUGAUAUUGAAGGAUUUUCUACAAUUUCUCUCUUUAUCGAUAAGUUUUUCUUCUCACUUUUUCCAUCAAUGUUUUAUAAGAAAUUAUUAGUUAUUUGUGAAUAUUUCAUAGGUAACUAAUUAUAUUUGUGAUUGGGGAUAUUUCAAACCCAAGUUAUGAUUUUCAACUAAUUAGUGCUUUAUAGUUCUCUUAAUUAAUAUGUUUAUUCCAUUGUGUUAAAUGUUUAUUUUGUUCUUCUUAAUUAUUUAGGUGUACAACUAAAUGAUUAAGUUGUUUCGAUGAAU